rnacentral:rRNA from 1 species
AACGAACGCUGGCGGCAGGCCUAACACAUGCAAGUCGAGCGGACCUUCGGGUUAGCGGCGGACGGGUUAGUAACGCGUGGGAACGUGCCCUUUAGCUCAGAAUAGCCCCGGGAAACUGGGAUUAAAACUGGAUACGCCCUUAGGGGGAAUAAAGGAUCGGCCCGCGUUAGAUUAGAUAGUUGGUGGGGUAAUGGCCUACCAAGUCUACGAUCUAUAGCUGGUUUUAGAGGAUGAUCAGCAACACUGGGACUGAGACACGGCCCAGACUCCUACGGGAGGCAGCAGUGGGGAAUCUUGGACAAUGGGGGAAACCCUGAUCCAGCCAUGCCGCGUGAGUGAUGAAGGCCUUAGGGUCGUAAAACUCUUUCGCCUGUGAUGAUAAUGACAGUAGCAGGUAAAGAAACCCCGGCUAACUCCG